UACGAAGGGGGGCUAGCGUUGUUCGGAAUUACUGGGCGUAAAGCGCACGUAGGCGGAUAUUUAAGUCAGGGGUGAAAUCCCGGGGCUCAACCCCGGAACUGCCUUUGAUACUGGGUAUCUCGAGUCCGAGAGAGGUGAGUGGAAUUCCGAGUGUAGAGGUGAAAUUCGUAGAUAUCUGGAGGAACACCGGUGGCGAAGGCGGCAUCCUGGACCGAGAUUGACGCUGAGGCGCGAAAGCUAGGGGAGCAAACGGG
rnacentral:rRNA from 1 species